rnacentral:ncRNA from 2 species
AAACUGCAUAUCCAUGAUGGUCGUUGGAGCUUGCUCCAAGGUUAAAAGGGAAAUCGGUGCAAAUCCGAUACAGUCACCUCUACUGUAAUGCUUUUCGGCUAAGUCAGAAAAUCUGCCAUCAGAGAAAUAGAUUU